UACGUAGGCAGCGAGCGUUGUUCGGAAUUAUUGGGCGUAAAGGGCGCGUAGGCGGUGCGGUAAGUCUGUAGUGAAAUCUCUGGGCUCAACUCAGAGUCUGCUGCAGAAACUGCCGUGCUUGAGUGUGGGAGAGGUGAGUGGAAUUCCCGGUGUAGCGGUGAAAUGCGUAGAUAUCGGGAGGACACCUGUGGCGAAAGCGGCUCACUGGACCACAACUGACGCUGAGGCGCGAAAGCUAGGGGAGCAAACAGGGAUUAAGAAA
rnacentral:rRNA from 1 species